CUCCCACACUCCCAGCUGUUUUUCUACCCCUCUGCCCUGACUCCUCCCACUCUCCCAGCUGUGUUUCUACCCCUCUGCCCUGACUCAUCCCACUCUCCCGACUGUGCUUCUACUCCUCUGCCCUGACUCCUCCCACUCUCCCAGCUGUGUUUCUACCCCUCUGCCCUGACUCCUCCCACUCUCCUGGCUAUGCUUCUCCUCUGCCCUGACUCCUCCCACUCCCCAGCUGUGUUUCUACCCCUCUGCCCUGACUCCUCCCACUCAGCUGUGUUAUUGCCCCCAUUGCCUGUAUGGAGCGCUGCUGUACCUGGUCAUUGAGCCAGUUCUGGCCAUAGAGAGUGCCCAGGUCGUCCAUACUUAACACAUGGCGCUUGUAGGUUACACGGAAUCCCCGUAACAUUGCGUUUCCAGGAUGCCGCUGGUACGACUGGAUCACAUGUUGCACCACAGUCCUCCUACAGACCAACACUGCGUUAGAGCCCCAUGUUAUACAGUGUAAUGCCCUCCCCCCGGAGCAGAGUGGAGGGGUCGGAAGA